rnacentral:rRNA from 1 species
AACGAACGCUGGCGGCAGGCCUAACACAUGCAAGUCGAGCGAAGCCUUCGGGCUUAGCGGCGGACGGGUGAGUAACGCGUGGGAACGUGCCCUUUGGUACGGAAUAGCCCCGGGAAACUGGGAGUAAUACCGCAUGUGGUCGAGAGACGAAAGAUUUAUCGCCAAAGGAUCGGCCCGCGUUGGAUUAGGUAGUUGGUGGGGUAAUGGCCUACCAAGCCGACGAUCCAUAGCUGGUUUGAGAGGAUGAUCAGCCACACUGGGACUGAGACACGGCCCAGACGCCUACGGGAGGCAGCAGUGGGGAAUCUUAGACAAUGGGGAAAACCCUGAUCUAGCCAUGCCACGUGAUCGAUGAAGGCCUUAGGGUUGUAAAGAUCUUUCAGUGGGGAAGAUAAUGACUGUACCCACAGAAGAAGCCCCGGCUAACUCCGUGCCAGCCGCCGCCGUAA